GACGAACGCUGGCGGCGGGCUUAACACAUGCAAGUCGAACGGAAAAACCCUGCUUGUUUGUGGUUCUAGAGUGGCGAACGGGAGAGUAGCACGUGAAUAACCUUGGCUGUGGGUGAGAAUGACUGGAAGAGACUGGUACUAAUGCCUAAGAGGAGCGGGAGCUAGAGGGGGGGGGUUGGACAGUUUGGGCGGUGGGGGCUGGAGUCGCGGCUAAUUAGCUGGUGGGUUGGAGAGUGGCUUACCAAGCCUUUGAAGGGUAGCCGGCCUGAGAGGGUGACCAGACACAUUGCGCCUGAGAUACGGACCAGACUCGUAUGGGAGGCAGCAGUGGGAAAUAUUGCACAAUGGGGGGGAGCAUGACGAAGAAACGCUGCGUGCGGGAUGCAGGCUUUCGGGUUGUAAACCGCUGUAGCUUGUGACGAAGCGUGAGUGACGGUAAUGGGUAAAGAAGCACCGGCUAACUACGUG
rnacentral:rRNA from 1 species